rnacentral:piRNA from 2 species
UGAGAAUGAAAAAGGGUCAGGG